rnacentral:rRNA from 1 species
GACAGAGGGUGCAAACGUUGUUCGGAAUCACUGGGCGUAAAGCGCUUGUAGGCGGCAGUGCAAGUCGGAUGUGAAAUCCCGCGGCUCAACCGUGGAAGUGCACCCGAAACUGCACAGCUCGAGUGUCGGAGAGGAAGGUGGAAUGCUUGGUGUAGAGGUGAAAUUCGUAGAUAUCAAGCGGAACACCGGUGGCGAAGGCGGCCUUCUGGACGACAACUGACGCUGAGAAGCGAAAGCGUGGGUAGCAAACAGG